rnacentral:lncRNA from 1 species
CUGUACUAUUAAUAGCGUCAAGUCAUUGGUUCUAUUAGAUUUUUGGCUUUUGGAUUAAAGAAUUUACAACUAUGAUGAUAGUGAUAUUUUAGGAUUGAAUGGAUGGUUGGUUGAAUAGUAUGAUCUAACAUGUGAAAAUGAUCAAAGGGAUAGAUCUAACGGUGAAAAACUUGAUAGAACCAAGUGCUUGAUGCUAAUGAUAAUGUUGAGACAUUUUGAUCAAUAGUGGGUCUAUUUAUUUUACCGAAAGUGAAGUUUAAGUUGACGUAGAUUUUCAGAUAAACUAAAGUUCAUGAAAAAAUUACUUUCCUUUUAUUGCUUGUUUGCUUGGAACUAAGUUCUCGCAAUCUUUUUGUUUGU